UUACUUACCUGUCAGAUGCUUCACCCAGAGACAAACUCAGUCAUGGCACUGAGGUUGUGCUGACCCCUGCAAAUUCCCCAAAUGUGGAAAUACCGACUGAAUAAUUUCUGCUGGUGGGGGACCAUGUUGGUGAACUUCCCUG
rnacentral:snRNA from 1 species